GACGAAUGCUGGCUGCGUGCUUAACACAUGCAAGUCGAACGGUGAAGGAGGGCUUGCCCUCCGGAUCAGUGGCGAACGGGUGAGUAACACGUGGGCAACCUGCCCCUCACUCUGGGAUAACGCCGGGAAACCGGCGCUAAUACCGGAUACGACCAGGCGCGACAUCUCGCCUGGUGGAAAGAAUUUCGGUGGGGGAUGGGCCCGCGGCCUAUCAGCUUGUGGGUGGGGUAACGGCCCCCCAAGGCGCCGACGGGUAGCCGGCGUGAGAGGGCGAACGGCGACACUGGGGCUGAGGAACGGCCAAGAGUCUAACGGGGGGCAGCGGUGGGUAAUAGUGCGCAAGGGGGGAGAGCCUGACGCAGCGACGCGGCGGGAGGAACGAAGGCCUACGGGUUGUAAACCUCUUUCAGCGGGGACGAAGCGAAAGUGACGGUACCCGAAGAAGAAGCACCGGCUAACUACGUGCCAGCAGCCGCCGUAACAC
rnacentral:rRNA from 1 species